rnacentral:pre_miRNA from 1 species
AGUCUUCUGUAUCCGUGCUGAGAUUUCGUCACAUACAAGACCACAAGGGCUGAUGAGACUUCCAAGAUAAGUGAAGCG